AAGCCACAAUGGAAAAAUGAUUGCGGUAAAAAAAGAAUAUUAAAAGUCUCCGAAUUUGCAGAUGAAACUCUAUGCUCUAUAGCAUAUCAGUUUCUUGAAAGCAAGAAUUCUCUCAGUUUUAGGUAAGAGAAUGAAUGCAAUAGCAAGAGAUUAGUAGAUAUCUUUCUUUCGUUAUUACAAAUGCACCAACUAGCCCCUUGAAUCUUCAAGUUGCAGAGUUUCAAGGAAUCGACGAGAUAAAGGUAUUAUAAGGUGCGAUAUUAAACAAAAAUUUUGGAGGCAAAUCUCUUAAUUCCUGUGCUGUUUAUUUGAGCUUUGUAAUCUUGCGCAGAGAAUAUGUUUUGCCUUAAAAGAAAAAGGAACUUUAUUCUUUUUCAAAUGUUUUCGGAAUCGGAUUUGGUCUUUCUGUGUUCAAAAGUUUUGAGAGGCAAAGCGAAAAUGAUGAUUUCUUUUGAAUCUGAAUUUAGGUGUGGAAUCGCAUCUCGUCGUAUUGGUCUUCAAAGUUCUCUGAUUGCUUUGCUUUGUUGAUUGCAUUUGCUUAGAUCUGAAUUUUUCAAUUGGGUUUUUAAGAAUUUCUAGUGUAUGGUAGUUAGCUUUAUGAUUGUUCUAAAAUGGGUGCCUUUUUUUUUUUUUUGGUUUAAGCAAAAUUAGCUGUUAUAUUAAAGAAUAGGCUUUUGCUGUAUUACAAAUGGUUAGGCUUAUGUGAGAGGCACUAUCAAUAUGGUAUUAUGUGGUUAGGCUUAUGUGAGAGGCAAAGAAAAAUGAUGAGAUUCUUAAUGGCCGAAUUUCAUGUGGAAUAUGGUCUUCAAAGUUCUCUGAUUAAAUUGCCUCUCGUUUCAAUGUUCCCUAAAAAUUGGUUUUCAAAGUUGUCAUUUUGUACUGCUGUACAGUUUUCUUUUUUUUCAUCAGGCCCGUCUAGUAGUUGUAAAGGAGCCUAAAUUGGGUAUUGUUUAUCUCAUAAAUUUAUCAUGACUGUUAUUUGCCUUCUGUUUUGUAAUUCUCAUUCAAACGAGGCUCGAAAUUUGCUUUUUUGAUAGAUGAUUUGUGGUGAUUGUGCUCUUCAUUGAGUAUUCCCGGUGGCUACAUAAUGCUUAACAUUUUUUGAAGUCUAUCUAUGAAUGCGGGUAGCCUGGCCCUUUGAGUGAUUUUAACAGUAUUUGCUUUUGGUUUCCUUCUUUAUUCUGGCUAUGUUCUAGAGGGCGGCAUUGGCAAGGUGGAGGUGAUUCUUAAGGUUGGUUGCCGGAGGGAUAUUUAGAAUGCUUCUUUUUAUCGAAGGUUAUCUUGCUAACGUAGGGAUGUUGGAGUAAAUGUAGGCACCAAAAUUCUUAGUCUGUUAUGUGUAUAAUUCAGGCUAUACGAGCAUGGUGCAAUAUCAAUAUCUUUCUUAGUCUUGUUCGCUAGUCUUUUUCAUGACGAAUUGAGCAAGAACUUAAAAGAACAGAUGUGCCUUCAUAUUAAUGUGCAUUCCAUAUUCUAGCAUUUCUUACUUUGCAUUUUCUUUUUCUCUUUUGAUUUCCAUCAAUAUAUAUGCCUUCAAAUUUAUUAUUGUUUAUCGUUUUGAAGUGGCAGGUAUAUACUCUGUAGUAAGGAGCUGGUCCUAUAUCUGUCCUUAAUAGUUGGAUAUAACAGUUCUGGGGGCUUGUAGUUUCUGUAUGUUAAAAUGAAUGUUGUUAUAACGCAUGCUUACUUAUUGCUACAAUUUUUGGCAUAUGGAGCUAACCAGAAUUAUGCUUUAUGUAUCCUAUGCUUCUAAGCUUCUGUAUUUUAAUCAAAUUGUGACAAAAGCCUUCACCCACAUAUGAG
rnacentral:misc_RNA from 1 species